rnacentral:ncRNA from 1 species
GUUACCGCUGUCGGUGUCGGUUUCCGAAAGGAAAUAACAGGGAAUUCGCAGGCGACCUCGGUCGUCAAACGAAACUGCCCCCGCAACUGUAGGCGGCGAGUACUCCCCCAAAAAUCCACUGGAUCGGUUGAUCUGGGAAGGAAGGGGUGUGCAGCGACCCGUCAGUCAGGAGACCUACCGACACGCUUGAACGUUAA